UAGGAUGAGAGGGAGAAGUAACAAAAGUGAAAACAAAAACUGAAUUCUAUUUCAAAUUGUUUUCACUUUUGUUACUCCUCCCUCUCAUCCUCUCUCUAAA
rnacentral:miRNA from 1 species